GAUGAACGCUGGCGGCGUGCCUAAUACAUGCAAGUCGAGCGAACGGACGAGAAGCUUGCUUCUCUGAUGUUAGCGGCGGACGGGUGAGUAACACGUGGAUAACCUACCUAUAAGACUGGGAUAACUUCGGGAAACCGGAUCUAAUACCGGAUAAUAUUUUGAACCGCAUGGUUCAUAAGUGAAAGACGGUCUUGCUGUCACUUAUAGAUGGAUCCGCGCUGCAUUAGCUAGUUGGUAAGGUAACGGCUUACCAAGGCAACGAUGCAUAGCCGACCUGAGAGGGUGAUCGGCCACACUGGAACUGAGACACGGUCCAGACUCCUACGGGAGGCAGCAGUAGGGAAUCUUCCGCAAUGGGCGAAAGCCUGACGGAGCAACGCCGCGUGAGUGAUGAAGGUCUUCGGAUCGUAAAACUCUGUUAUUAGGGAAGAACAUAUGUGUAAGUAACUGUGCACAUCUUGACGGUACCUAAUCAGAAAGCCACGGCUAACUACGUG
rnacentral:rRNA from 1 species